ACUCCUAGGCACAAUUGGCUAGCGCGUGAGACUUUUAUCAUGAAAGAUCAUCUCAAGGUUGAGAGUUCGAGCCUCUCCGCGGUUGGUGUA